AGUUUUGCUGGUUUGCAUUCAGCUUGAUUUAGUUGCUGUGCAAAUCCAUGCAAAACUGA
rnacentral:pre_miRNA from 1 species